rnacentral:lncRNA from 1 species
GAGGUUUCGGGGGAGGAGAUUGUGCGGGAUCAAAUGACUCAUGUUAGCUAUAAUAUCAACAUUUGCUUUUAUAACAGAAAGUGCAUAUCUAGAUUAUCUCUCUCAUUGACCGUUCUAGGACAAUAACAUCACAAAUAUUUUGGCUUGUCAAAUGUAACAAUCGACAUCAAUGAUGAAGAAAUCAUAUUGUUGGAUGGUUUAAUUUGAACUUUCAUUUAUAGAAAAGGUCAUAUCGCCCACAUAAACAUAUGGGAGUUGUAACAUUGAGUCCUGAGGGGUUCGUGCAGACAACUCUCUUAAGUCAGGAGUGCAGCCAAAACUUACUGAGCUGCAUGGCCAACUUCAAGAACUCCGGAGGGCGAAUGUUUGAAGGAAGUAAGAGCUAAGUUGAGGAUGUCAUCGACAAGCCCUGAAUCUCUUUCCUUGUUCAAUGGACAUAUCAACUCGGAUCCCUCCACCUCACUUCGCGAUCACCCCUCUCUUUCAACUUUUGUGCUCUGUCUUUGUCUUUUCUCGUUCUGUUGCAACAAAUGGGAAAAAGAGUAGAGAGUAUUGAAGGUGCCUUUGUUUUCCUUUCCUGUAGAAUUGGAAGAUUAAUGGAAACUGACAAGGGACUUCAAUUAUAACUGCAGAAACAAGAACAUGAAGUGGCCAGAGAGUUCAAAACACAAGAUCCACGUACAAAUAUAGAACGCCAAAUAUUGUGAAUUGAACAUAUUACCCUAUACUUCCAUACUUAAAUUAAUUAAUGUUAACAUUAUCAUGAUGAGGGGGAACGGACUUGAUUUUACCAUAAGGGCGACCAAGAAAGACAUUUCAAUCGUUGACAAACAACUGUGACCUUUAGUGAGCAUCCGUAGUAGCUAUUCAAAGAAUUAUGGUUGAGACUCACAUAUGUGUCCUCUGUUUCUAAUGUUAGGAUGUUCAAUCUUCGGCAUUAGGAAUCACGUAAUUAUGGUUGAUAUUUUCCUCAAGUUCAUAAAAACCCAACUGAAGAGACAUGGAACAUGUGAUGUGUAAUUUGCCUACAUUAGCCAUUACUUAAGUGGGCCUAGAUCCCAACUCCCAUCUCUCUCUCUCGUGCAAAGGAGAAGAAGAUGAUGACGAUGAUGCAAUCAAUUGGGGUAGGGGCAAUAAGAACAGAAACUGAAACAAACGCUUUUUCUUGUUGCGACUCAUGAAGUUGUUAUGUCAAAGGUUUGGCGGUUUCACGGUUCCUUGCCCCCAACAACCCCUCCUUUCCCUCGAUGGUUAACAACCUUUUCCUUAAAUCCUUCCCCCCACCGCAUCCCUCUCCCCAUCCUUGCCAUCCAUAUAUGCUAACUUGGUUCGGUCAUUUCAACGAACACAUGAUAAGCAGCAAGUUGGGAUUAGUAACAGCGCAUCAAAGUCCAGAGGUGCCCAAACUCUCAAAAUAGGAAAUUGCACACCGUCAUCCACGGUUAGGCUCUGUGCUCAAGCAUGCAAUCCAAGUCGAAAAGACGUAAAAAAAUAAACAACCGAAAACGGGAAAAAAAUCAUCAGUGCAAGCCGACGCACGCAACAAAGCAUCAGAUUGGAACUAACGACUAAGCACAAAUCAGCAAUUCCAGCAACCGUGAACGUCACGACAGACGGCAAAAGACAGAAAAAGGUAAACCUGAAGCACGGCAUCUCUAGUCCCAGCCACCGGAGCCAGGCAAAAAAAUGCACUCAAUGACAGGGGAGGGGAGAAAAACCACGAGAAAUGAAGGAGAAACCCUACGAACCGUGAGAAACGCUGGACCCACUCGGCGAUUUGCGGUACCCGCAGGAGCUCCUCCGCCGGCCGCAGUCCAAGACCUCCCUCCUUCCUCACCGGGAACACCGGGCUUCGGGAGCGAGGGGGAGAGAGGAGAGACGAACUGCAGAGGAUGAGCAAAAGAAAAGCGCAGUCGAGCAAGAAGAGGUUGUCGCGAGGGAGAGAGCGACGGAAGGGUCAGAGCAAUCGAGCAAGAAGAGGUUUCGCGAGGCAGAGAGCGACGGAAAGCGAUGGAAGGGAGGAGUGCGAAUUAG